UUUGUUGUGCCGAUACACCUGCAUCACUGUCAGGUUGGUUGGAUGCAAAUUAUGAAGUUUGGACAUGGAAUAUAAUGGAGCAUUCGAAGGGUCCAAGUCAGAAAUUCUAGAGAAGUUGUCGAGUGGAAGUGAAUGUCCUCUUCGUCAUCCUAAAACUGAGAUUGUGCAUUUGGGGAAGCAUUUAGAAUGUUUAUCUUGCCAUGUCGCCGGGAAUGUUUUGCAUUGUUUCGCAAAAGUGAGUCA